GACAGAGGAUGCGAACGUUGCUCGGAGUUACUGGGCGUAAAGCGCGCGCAGGCGGUCCGGUAAGUCGGGUGUGAAAGCCCGGGGCUCAACCUCGGAAGCGCACACGAUACUGCCAGACUACGGGUCUUGAAGAGGAGAGCGGAAUUCCCGGUGUAGAGGUGAAAUUCGCAGAUAUCAGGAGGAACACCGGUGGCGAAGGCGGGUCUCUGGGCAGUAACUGACGCUGAGGAGCGAAAGCGUGGGGAGCGAACAGGAUUAGAAACCCCGGUAGU
rnacentral:rRNA from 1 species